UACGAAGGGGGCUAGCGUUGCUCGGAAUCACUGGGCGUAAAGCGCACGUAGGCGGCUUUUUAAGUCGGUGGUGAAAUCCUGGAGCUCAACUCCAGAACUGCCUUUGAUACUGGAGAGCUUGAGUCCGGAAGAGGUGAGUGGAACUCCGAGUGUAGAGGUGAAAUUCGUAGAUAUUCGGAAGAACACCAGUGGCGAAGGCGGCUCACUGGUCCGGUACUGACGCUGAGGUGCGAAAGCGUGGGGAGCAAACAGG
rnacentral:rRNA from 1 species